rnacentral:rRNA from 1 species
AUUGAACGCUGGCGGCAGGCCUAACACAUGCAAGUCGAGCGGAUGAAGGGAGCUUGCUCCUGGAUUCAGCGGCGGACGGGUGAGUAAUGCCUAGGAAUCUGCCUGGUAGUGGGGGAUAACGUCCGGAAACGGGCGCUAAUACCGCAUACGUCCUGAGGGAGAAAGUGGGGGAUCUUCGGACCUCACGCUAUCAGAUGAGCCUAGCUCGGAUUAGCUAGUUGGUGGGGUAAAGGCCUACCAAGGCGACGAUCCGUAACUGGUCUGAGAGGAUGAUCAGUCACACUGGAACUGAGACACGGUCCAGACUCCUACGGGAGGCAGCAGUGGGGAAUAUUGGACAAUGGGCGAAAGCCUGAUCCAGCCAUGCCGCGUGUGUGAAGAAGGUCUUCGGAUUGUAAAGCACUUUAAGUUGGGAGGAAGGGCAGUAAGUUAAUACCUUGCUGUUUUGACGUUACCAACAGAGUAAGCACCGGCUAACUUCGUG